rnacentral:rRNA from 1 species
GAUGAACGCUGGCGGCGUGCCUAAUACAUGCAAGUCGAGCGAACAGACGAGGAGCUUGCUCCUCUGACGUUAGCGGCGGACGGGUGAGUAACACGUGGAUAACCUACCUAUAAGACUGGGAUAACUUCGGGAAACCGGAGCUAAUACCGGAUAAUAUAUUGAACCGCAUGGUUCAAUAGUGAAAGACGGUUUUGCUGUCACUUAUAGAUGGAUCCGCGCCGCAUUAGCUAGUUGGUAAGGUAACGGCUUACCAAGGCAACGAUGGGUAGCCGACCUGAGAGGGUGAUCGGCCACACUGGAACUGAGACACGGUCCAGACUCCUACGGGAGGCAGCAGUAGGGAAUCUUCCGCAAUGGGCGAAAGCCUGACGGAGCAACGCCGCGUGAGUGAUGAAGGUCUUCGGAUCGUAAAACUCUGUUAUUAGGGAAGAACAAAUGUGUAAGUAACUAUGCACGUCUUGACGGUACCUAAUCAGAAAGCCACGGCUAACUACGUG